rnacentral:misc_RNA from 1 species
GGUAGGUUUAAUUUAGUAAUCAAAUAGCAUCAGUCAGAGGUGGAAUGUAUAUAUAAUUAAUAAGGUAUGAAUUUUAAUUGGGGUUAAGACGGAUACAAAUAAUUGAGAUUUUAAAUGGGUUUUUGAAUGGGUAUAGCAAUUUUCAUUGGUACCUAGCACUUUCAUUUCUAGCGUCGAAGACUGCCUAAUGAGAAUCAAAUAUUGGGUCAGUCUCUUAACUUGAAGAUGCGCAAUCUAUGCUCUGUUCAUGUGCUUUAUUUGUCUAUUUAUUUGUUUGUUUGUUUUUUCCCCCUCUGUUUAUUCUCAUUUGAUGUGUGCUAAUUGUUUGGGAUUUCCCUUUCCCAAUUACGUUUGGAUGAAUGAUUUUUAGUUAGAAGCAGAAGAUGGGGAAGAGGAGAGGAAGGGCAUGUGUGGUUGUAUUGGGCGAUAUAGGCCGCAGCCCUCGAAUGCAGUAUCAUGCCCUUUCCCUUGCCCGUCAGGCAUCUCUACAAGUGGACAUUGUUGCAUAUGG